rnacentral:rRNA from 1 species
CCUACGGGUGGCAGCAGUGGGGAAUAUUGGGCAAUGGGCGCAAGCCUGACCCAGCAACGCCGCGUGAAGGAAGAAGGCUUUCGGGUUGUAAACUUCUUUUCUCAGGGACGAAGCAAGUGACGGUACCUGAGGAAUAAGCCACGGCUAACUACGUGCGAGCAGCCGCGGUACUACGUAGGUGGCAAGCGUUAUCCGGAUUUACUGGGUGUAAGGGGCGUGUAGGCGGGACUGCAAGUCAGAUGGGAAAACUACGGGCUCAACCUGUGGCCUGCAUUUGAAACUGUAGUUCGUGAGUACUGGAGAGGCAGACGGAAUUCCUAGUGUAGCGGUGAAAUGCGUAGAUAUUAGGAGGAACACCAGUGGCGAGGGCGGUCUGCUGGACAGCAACUGACGCUGAGGCGCGAAAGCGUGGGGAGCAAACAGGAUUAGAUACCCUUGUAGUC